rnacentral:rRNA from 1 species
CCUACGGGAGGCUGCAGUGGGGAAUCUUCCGCAAUGGGCGAAAGCCUGACGGAGCAACGCCGCGUGAUCGAAUGAAGGCCUUCGGGUUGUAAAGAUCUGUUGACAGGGACGAAUAAGCAAUGCGAAUAGUUUUGUGUAUGACGGUACCUGUUUAGAAAGCUCCGGCUAACUACGGGCCAGCAGCCGCGUUAAUACGUAGGGAGCAAGCGUUGUACGGAAUUGCUGGGCGUAAAGGGCGCGUAGGUGGGCGCUUAAGUCAGGUGUGAAAACCCCGGGCUCAACCUGGAGACUGCACUUCGAACUGGGUGUCUUGAGGGCAGGAGAGGAAAGUGGAAUUCCUAGUGUAGCGGUGAAAUGCGUAGAUAUUAGGAGGAACACCAGUGGCGAAGGCGACUUUCUGGACUGUACCUGACGCUGAGGCGCGAAAGCGUGGGUAGCAAACAGGAUUAGAUACCCCAGUAGUC